UUGACUUCAUGCAGCUCACUGAAAAAGAAAAAAAAAAGAUUGUAGAAAUAGUUAUGUAGCAUAAUGUGCUGAGUUUGUAAGAACGGCGGGUGAUGUACAGAAAACCAUGCAAAGAUUUCUAAGGACUCUGUCCUUUUUUCAAGUUCUGAUAUGUGCGACAUUGAAGAGCAAAGCUGAAAGUGUUUAUACAGGAACAGAAGGAGGCAGUGUGGAUAUCUCCUGUAAAUACCCUGAUGGAUAUCUUUAUACACCCAAGUACCUCUGUCGUGCUCCAUGCACUUCUUCUGAUGUAUUAAUUAAAUGUGAGAAGGCUGAUAGGGUCGUCUCUAAGGGAAAAUACAGUUUAGUAAACAAUGUCUCUGGACGUUGCUUCUCAGUCACCAUCAAACAUCUCACAUUACAGGACUCUGGAGUUUAUUACUGUGGUUUGAGUAAAUGGGGCUUUGACAAGUUGACUAAAGUAAAACUGACUGUCAGUACAGUAUCUACUCUGUCUACAAGUUCUUUUGAAACCACGCAGAUUACUUGGGCUACAACAGUGAUACUAAGUACUGCAGAUAAUUUAAUGUUAAAUAAACAAGCAUCAUCCACACCUGAAACCUUGGAAACUGCUUUAGACACACACGGACAGCUGCUUCUUGUUUCUGGAGCAAUACUGGGCCUAAUAUUGUGCUGUGUCCUUGCAGCUCUUGCAAUUUUUUACAGAAAGAAAUCCAGCACACACAUCACAUCUUUUAAACCACCUGCCCCUGAAGACCAAAUUCCAUGUCCACAACCUGAACAGGAGGACCUUUACCAUGUGUAUGAUGCGCUGUUGGAUGUAUAUAGCUUUGCUGGUCCAGCUAGAGGAGAUUCUUCAGCCAUCUACAGCACCAUUGAGCUCCCUGCUCCAGCAGAUAAUGACUGCAGUCCAUACUCUCUUGUAGCUCCUCAUUGAUAACAGCUACAGCACUCUAUAUAUGUGAGCAACAGAAUGUCCUCUAUGAGCUACACGUUACUGCACGUCAUAUAUUCAAAGAAACGUGCUCCCACAACAAAACAUCAGAGCUGUGAUGUCUCACCUUUUUUUCUGUAGUACUUCCUGUAAUGAUCACAUCACUGCUUCCUCCUCCUACUUAUGAAGAACCAAAAGUGAUCUCUCAGACCUCCUCUAACAACUGCACCAAUACAGCCUACAUCCUACAGCUCAAAGGCAGGGAGCAAAAUAAAAAAAGAGGAAAAACGUUUAAAAACAUGUAUAGAUAUAUAGCACACUGUGCUGAGUUUAGAAAGAAGCCUGGCGAUGUGCAGAAAGCAUGGUUGUUCUUCAUGCAAGUUCUUAUAUGUGUGACAAUGAAGAGCAAAGCUGAAAGUGUUUAUACUGGAACAGAAGGAGGCAGUGUGGAUAUCUUUUGUAAAUACCCUGAUGGAUAUCAAUAUACACCAAUGUUCUUCUGUCGUGAUCCAUGCACUUAUUCUGAUGUAUUAAUUAAAUGUGAGAAGGCUGAUAGGGUCGUCUCUAAGGGAAGAUACAGUGCAUUAAACAGUGUCUCUGGACGUUGCUUUUCUGUCGCCAUCAGACACCUCACAUUACAGGACUCUGGAGUUUAUUACUGUGGUUUGAGUACAUGGGACUUUGACAAGUUGACUAAAGUAAAGUUCACUGUCAGUAAAGCUGUUUCUACUGAGUUCUCUCCCGCUCCAGUGUCCAGUAUGAAUAAAAUCCUUAAAGCUACAGAGCACUCAGACGCCUCCACAGUAGCUACUGCAGGUAGAGGAAAUAAAUGUAUUCUGUGCA